rnacentral:piRNA from 1 species
UGGAGAUUUCUUUCAGUUCUGUUGUCUCU